CGUACACUCCUACGGGAGGCAGCAGUGGGGAAUAUUGGACAAUGGGCGCAAGCCUGAUCCAGCCAUGCCGCGUGAGUGAUGAAGGCCCUAGGGUUGUAAAGCUCUUUCACCGGUGAAGAUAAUGACGGUAACCGGAGAAGAAGCCCCGGCUAACUUCGUGCCAGCAGCCGCGGUAAUACGAAGGGGGCUAGCGUUGUUCGGAUUUACUGGGCGUAAAGCGCACGUAGGCGGACUAUCAAGUCAGGGGUGAAAUCCCGGGGCUCAACCCCGGAACUGCCUUUGAUACUGGUAGUCUUGAGUUCGAGAGAGGUGAGUGGAAUUCCGAGUGUAGAGGUGAAAUUCGUAGAUAUUCGGAGGAACACCAGUGGCGAAGGCGGCUCACUGGCUCGAUACUGACGCUGAGGUGCGAAAGCGUGGGGAGCAAACAGGAUUAGAAACCCGGGUAGUCCCAUGA
rnacentral:rRNA from 1 species